GCUCCCAUGGCGUAGUGGUCACUGCGCUCGCCUUGCACGCGGGAGACCCGGGUUCGAUUCCCAGCGGAGUCA
rnacentral:tRNA from 1 species